rnacentral:rRNA from 1 species
AGAGUUUGAUCCUGGCUCAGGACGAACGCUGGCGGCGCGCCUGACACAUGCAAGUCGAACGAGAGAGAGGGAACUUGCUUCCUUGAUCGAGUGGCGAACGGGUGAGUAACGCGUGAGGAACCUGCCUCAAAGAGGGGGACAACAGUUGGAAACGACUGCUAAUACCGCAUAAGCCCACGACCCGGCAUCGGGAAGAGGGAAAAGGAGCAAUCCGCUUUGAGAUGGCCUCGCGUCCGAUUAGCUAGUUGGUGAGGUAAUGGCCCACCAAGGCGACGAUCGGUAGCCGGACUGAGAGGUUGAACGGCCACAUUGGGACUGAGACACGGCCCAGACUCCUACGGGAGGCA